rnacentral:rRNA from 1 species
CAACGGCGAGUGAAGAGGGAAGAGCCCAAGAUUGAAAGCUGGCGUCUUCGACGUCCGCAUUGUAAUCUCAAGAAGUGUUUUCCGCUACGGACCAAGCCUAAGUCUCCUGGAAAGGAGCAUCAUAGAGGGUGAUAAUCCCGUACAUGGCUUGGAGCGCCCGCAGCUUUGUGAUACGCUUUCUAAGAGUCGAGUUGUUUGGGAAUGCAGCUCAAAAUGGGUGGUAAAUGCCAUCUAAGGCUAAAUAUUGGGGAGAGACCGAUAGCGAACAAGUACAGUGAUGGAAAGAUGAAAAGAACUUUGAAAAGAGAGUUAAACAGUACGUGAAAUUGCCAAAAGGGAAGGGUAGGAGGUCAGAGAUGCUUUUGGGGAUUCAGCCUUGCUUUUGCAUGGUGUUUUUCCCCUCGGGCAGGCCAACGUCGGUUUUGGGCACUGGAGAAGGGUGGAAGGAAUGUGGCAUCCCUCGGGAUGUGUUAUAGCCUUCUACUGGAUACAGCGACCGAGACCGAGGACA